GAUGAAGAACGUAGCGAAAUGCGAUAAGUAAUGUCAAUUGCAGAAUUCAGUGAAUCAUCGAAUCUUUGAACGCACAUUGCGCCCGCCAGUAUUCUGGCGGGCAUGCCUGUUCGAGCGUCAUUUCAACCAUCAAGCCCCCGGCUUGUGUUGGGGACCUGCGGCUGCCGCAGGCCCUGAAAAGCAGUGGCGGGCUCGCUGUCACACCGAGCGUAGUAGCAUACAUCUCGCUCUGGGCGUGCUGCGGGUUCCGGCCGUUAAACCACCUUCAUAACCCAAGGUUGACCUCGGAUCAGGUAGGAAGACCCGCUGAACUUAAGCAUAUCAAUAAGCGGAGGA
rnacentral:misc_RNA from 1 species